AUUCAAUCGUACGAUAUAAUCCUUGAAAACAUUGGACCAAAAGUGCAUCUUUCCUAAACAACAAAAUAUCAUACGAAAGAGAGCAAAAU